UACGUAGGGAGCGAGCGUUGUUCGGAGUUACUGGGCGUAAAGGGUGUGUAGGCGGUUCUUUAAGUUUGGGGUGAAAUCUCCCGGCUCAACCGGGAGGGUGCGCCGAAUACUGAGGGACUAGAGUACGGGAGAGGAAAGUGGAAUUCCUGGUGUAGCGGUGAAAUGCGUAGAUAUCAGGAGGAACACCGGUGGUGUAGACGGCUUUCUGGACCGUAACUGACGCUGAGACGCGAAAGCGUGGGGAGCGAACAGG
rnacentral:rRNA from 1 species